UAAUACAGAGGGUGCAAGCGUUAAUCGGAAUUACUGGGCGUAAAGCGCGCGUAGGCGGCCUGACAAGUCGAGUGUGAAAUCCCCGGGCUUAACCUGGGAGCUGCAUUCGAAACUGUCUGGCUAGAGUAUGGGAGAGGGAAGUGGAAUUUCAGGUGUAGCGGUGAAAUGCGUAGAUAUCUGAAGGAACAUCAGUGGCGAAAGCGACUUCCUGGACCAAUACUGACGCUCAGGU
rnacentral:rRNA from 1 species